UACGUAGGGUGCAAGCGUUGUCCGGAAUUAUUGGGCGUAAAGGGCUCGUAGGCGGUCUGUCACGUCGGGAGUGAAAACUCAGGGCUUAACCCUGAGCCUGCUUCCGAUACGGGCAGACUAGAGGUAUGCAGGGGAGAACGGAAUUCCUGGUGUAGCGGCGAAAUGCGCAGAUAUCAGGAGGAACACCGGUGGCGAAGGCGGUUCUCUGGGCAUUACCUGACGCUGAGGAGCGAAAGUGUGGGGAGCGAACAGG
rnacentral:rRNA from 1 species